rnacentral:rRNA from 1 species
AGUGAACGCUGGCGGUAGGCCUAACACAUGCAAGUCGAACGGCAGCACAGUAAGAGCUUGCUCUUACGGGUGGCGAGUGGCGGACGGGUGAGGAAUACAUCGGAAUCUACUUUUUCGUGGGGGAUAACGUAGGGAAACUGAUGCUAAUACCGCAUACGACCUACGGGUGAAAGCAGGGGAUCUUCGGACCUUUCGCGAUUGAAUGAGCCGAUGUCGGAUUAGCUAGUUGGCGAGGUAAAGGCCCACCAAGGCGACGAUCCGAAGCUGGUCUGAGAGGAUGAUCAGCCAAACUGGAACUGGGACACGGUCCAGACUCCUACGGGAGGCCACCGUGGGGAAUAUUGGACAAUGGGCGGAAGCCUGAUCCAGCCAUACCGCGUGGGUGAAGAAGGCCUUCGGGUUCUAAAGCCCUUUUGUUGGGAAAGAAAAGCAGCAGGUUAAUACCCCGCUGUUCUGACGGUACCCAAAGAAUAAGCCCCGGCUAACUUCGUG